UACGAAGGGGGCUAGCGUUGCUCGGGUUGACUGGGCGUAAAGGGCGCGUAGGCGGUUCGUACAGUCAGACGUGAAAUUCCUGGGCUCAACCUGGGGGCUGCGUUUGAUACGUGCGGACUUGAGUGCGGAAGAGGGUCGUGGAAUUCCCAGUGUAGAGGUGAAAUUCGUAGAUAUUGGGAAGAACACCGGUGGCGAAGGCGGCGACCUGGUCCGAUACUGACGCUGAGGCGCGAAAGCGUGGGGAGCAAACAGG
rnacentral:rRNA from 1 species